rnacentral:tRNA from 1 species
ACUAUUUUGGCGGAUAAACGCAUUAAAGUUAGAUUUUGAAGAAGGGUUUACCAAAUAGUA